UAGAUCAGUGGCUUAUUUUCAAGUCCCCAGUAGCCACUAUUUCACCCUCUGCUUUGUAAGCUAAACUUGGACUGCAGCACAUGUUCUAUUUUCCAGGUGGAUAACAGUGGAUUCUGUUAUUUGGAAGUUCUCUCUAAAACUUGUGUAGAAACUUAAAUGACAUCGUAACUGUUGACGUUCAAGGAGACCCUCAGAGGCCACAGGGUCAAGAGGAUACGCUUGUGACAGGACUGCUGUGAAGAGGGAGACCAACACACUAAGAAUGGCUCUGAAAUGUAAAGCUGAAAGAAAUAUGGGAACGGGGCAAUCAACGUACAGACAUGGAAAACAAGAACUUUUCGUACUUUGAAGGAUCUGCCUCCAUUUCCCCAACUCUGGCCUGGAAAGGGACCUUGACAGGGCAGGCGAUGAUCCAUCAGGCUCUGCAGCAGACUGGAAUGGCAUUACCCCAGUGUCUGAGUCUAUCCUAUACGUCUAAAUCCUGGCAGUGCUGCCUCUGCUUCCCGUGCUCAACGGCUUCCUAACAAAUGUUCACGAUCCUCAUUACUAUGAAAUACAGCUUUUAUCCAUAAUUGAAUAUCACUCAUUUGCCGAAUAUUGUCUCCAUGCAAAGAACGUCCAUGCUCUCCAAGUCCCGGGAACUGCAGAAGAAAAGCAUCCAGUCACAUCCCCAACUCACAGAGAUUCCAUGCACCUGACCUCAAGUCCAGACACCCGGUGGUUCCAAGAAGACACAAAAGAUGAAGUAGUUUCAGCUUACUUACUCGUUCUGUCACCAACAAAACUCCCUUCCCCCUUCCCUAUCCUUAGCCACCAAACACCCAGCUUGAAGCACGUGAUCUGCACUUUCUACCUCUGCUCAUGGUGUUGGUGAGGCCUGGACCCUGACCACAGCAGAGCUGGGUCUCGAUGUGCCACCUUUAAGGUUAAAUAAAGUCUGCUCUUCCCCCCCCCCUUCUCUCUCUGUCUCUACCACCCUCUCAACUCCCUCCCCAUGCCCUGAAUAAACUAUUCUAUACUAUUAAAAAAAAA